rnacentral:rRNA from 1 species
CUAGCCGUAAACGAUGGAUACUAGGCGUUGUGAGUAUCGACCCUCACAGUGUCGUAGCUAACGCGUUAAGUAUCCCGCCUGGGGAGUACGCGCGCAAGCGUGAAACUCAAAGGAAUUGACGGGGGCCCGCACAAGCGGUGGAGUAUGUGGUUUAAUUCGAUGCAACGCGAAGAACCUUACCAGGACUUGACAUGUCGCGAAUCUCAGGGAAACUUGAGAGUGCCUUCGGGAGCGCGAACACGGGUGGUGC